UGAGAGAUGGCCCCCAUCCAGGAAGGCAGCAGGCGCGAAAAUUACCCACUUCCGCGCGGAGAGGUAGUGACUAGUCAUAACAAAUAUAGACCCUAGUGGUUUGUAUUUGGACUGGUGAGAUGUUAUAAAUAUCUCAGUAAUCUAGAUCAGGGCAAGUCUGGUGCCAGCAGCCGCGGUAAUACCAGCCUGAUCAAGCGUAUGCUUUAGUUGCUGCGUUUAAAAAGCUCAUAGUUGGAUCUUCGAAAGCGUGAUCAUCAAAGGGCGUAGUUCGGUUACGGUCGUUCUAUUCCUGGUCACGGUCUUUCACUAUACUUGGAAGACAGUUUAUUCUUAACUGAAUAGACUGAUCGAAAACAAGUGAUAAACCUUGAAAAAAUUAGAGUGCUCAAAGCAAGCUUUGGCCUUGAAUUUUAAAGCAUGGAAUUGAGGAAGAGGACCAUUAUGGUCGUGAACCAUUUUGGUAAUGAUUAAAAGGAACAGACGGGGGCAUACGUAUUGCUCGGGGAGGGGUGAAAUCCGUAGAUCCCAGCAAGACGACCUACUGCGAAAGCAUUUGCCAAGAAUGUUUUCAUUAAUCAAGAACGAAAGUUAGAGUAUUAAAGAGGAUUAGAUACCCUCGUAAUUCUAACCUUAAACGAUACCAUCCUAAUCUUAGCCAAUGUAAUUUAUUACUUGGCUAGGAUUAAACCGGGAAACCAAAGACAUUUGGUUCCGGGGGGAGUAUGGUUGCAAAAUCGAAACUUAAAGGAAUUGACGGAGGGGCACCACCCGGGAGUGGAGCCUGCGGCUUAAUUUGACUCACACGGGGGAACCCUACCAGGUCC
rnacentral:rRNA from 1 species